UGGAGAGGCUUUGCUCCCUUAAUUGUGAUUUUGCAGCAAAAGUGUGGAACCAGUGCUACAAGUGGUUGAAUGUGUCUUCAACUCUGCCUUUGGAUUGCCAAGCUCACUUCCUCCAACAUGGCAGCGAAUUUGGGACAGAUUUGCAACGAAGGGGGGUCAAAACAAUCUGGGUUGCGGUUCUAUGGUCCCUUUGGCUAGAAA
rnacentral:lncRNA from 1 species